rnacentral:rRNA from 1 species
AAGUCGUAACAAGGUUUCCGUAGGUGAACCUGCGGAAGGAUCAUUACCAAACAUGUCGUUGUCCCGACACGACACUAAAACCCAUCCGUGUACCCUUCCUGUUGCUUCCGCGGUCGCGAUUCGCAUCCGUGGGAGGUCCCUGUAAAAACCAUUCUGCAUCUCCAUGCCCAGAGUCUGAACUUCAAUCUGUUUAAUUAAGAUUAAAAACUUUCAACAACGGAUCUCUUGGUUCUCGCAUCGAUGAAGAACGCAGCGAAAUGCGAUAAGUAGUGUGAAUUGCAGAAUUCAGUGAAUCAUCGAAUCUUUGAACGCACAUUGCGCCUCCUGGCAUUCCAGGGGGCAUGCCUGUUCGAGCGUCAUUUAGUAGCCAUCGAGCGAGUUCGCCUCGCUUGGGUCUGGGGGAUGGAUGCGCCUCGGUGCUCCCACCCCCGAAAUACAACGGCGGACAACCCCACCCUUGGAACUGCAGCGUAGUAAGUCAUUCUUUCGCGAGCGGCCAAGGAGGGACUAUCCAGCCCGUCAAACCCCCAAAUCCAACGGUUGACCUCGGAUCAGGUAGGGAUACCCGCUGAACUUAAGCAUAUCAAUAAGCGGAGGAAAAGAAACCAACAGGGAUUGCCUCAGUAACUGCGAGUGAAGCGGCAAGAGCUCAAAUUUGAAAUCUGGCGCCAUUGGCGUCCGAGUUGUAAGUUGGAGGGAUAACUUCGGGGCCGGCGCCAUCCUAAGUUCUUUGGAACAGGACAUCGCAGAGGGUGAGAAUCCCGUGUCUGGAUGGCUGCCCGGUUCCAUGUGAAGUGUCUCCGACGAGUCGAGUUGUUUGGGAAUGCAGCUCAAAAUGGGUGGUAAAUUUCAUCUAAAGCUAAAUAUUGGCGAGAGACCGAUAGCGAACAAGUAGAGUGAUCGAAAGAUGAAAAGCACUUUGAAAAGAGAGUUAAAAAGUACGUGAAAUUGUUGAAAGGGAAGCGCAUGCGACCAGACUCGAUCUUUGGUGAUCAUCCGGGGUUCUCCUCGGUGCACUUGCCAUUGGUCGGGCCAGCAUCGGUUCCGGCGGCGGGACAAAAGUGGAGGGAAUGUGGCUCCCUUCGGGGAGUGUUAUAGCCCUCCGCACAAUGCCGCCAGCCGGGACCGAGGACCGCGCUUCGGCUAGGAUGCUGGCUUAAUGGUCUUAUGCGACC